rfam:Bombyx mori DNA, contig: Bm_scaf54_contig27476, strain: p50T/Dazao, build 2, whole genome shotgun sequence.
UUAGCUCAUAUUUGUAUGGAAUGGGAUCGUUUGCGUACGUUUGCCGCUAGGGGCGCUGUUCUAACUGCAUACAAAAUUGGGUUA